rnacentral:rRNA from 1 species
CCAGUAGUCAUAUGCUUGUCUCAAAGAUUAAGCCAUGCAUGUCUAAGUUCACACCCUCGUACGGUGAAACCGCGAAUGGCUCAUUAAAUCAGUCGAGGUUCCUUAGAUGAUCCAUUUCUACUUGGAUAACUGUGGUAAUUCUAGAGCUAAUACAUGCCCAACAGCUCCGACCCCGGGCUUCGCGGUUCGGGGAAAGAGCGCUUUUAUUAGUUCAAAACCAGUCGGGGGCUUCGGCCCUCGUGCUUUGGUGACUCUGGAUAACUUUGAGCCGAUCGCAUGGCCUCGAGCCGGCGACGCAUCUUUCAAAUGUCUGCCCUAUCAAAUGACGACGGUACGUGAUCUGCCUACCGUGUUGACUACGGGUAGCGGGGAAUCAGGGUUCGAUUCCGGAGAGGGAGCAUGAGA